rnacentral:rRNA from 1 species
UACGGGGGGGGCAAGCGUUGUUCGGAAUUACUGGGCGUAAAGGGCGCGUAGGCGGUUUGCUAAGUUGGAUGUGAAAACUCUGGGCUUAACCCAGAGCCUGCAUCCAAAACUGGCAAACUUGAGUACUGGAGGGGAAAGCGGAAUUCCUGGUGUAGCGGUGAAAUGCGUAGAUAUCGAGAGGAACACCUGCGGCGAAGGCGGGUUGCUGGGCCGACACUGACGCUGAUGCGCGAAAGCCAGGGGAGCGAACGGG